UUUGGAUACUUUGAAGCCUAAUAUUAGAAGUCACACUCAAAAAAAGACAGGAUUGUUCCACACAUAUUCUCUUCUGUUUCACCAAUGACCAGCCAAUGAAAAUGCACCUUGCCUAGAACUGCUACUUGCUAUAUGAUCCUCCUGAAACCAAUUUCAUCUUGCAUAUUCUUCCUUAGGCAAAAUGUUUGGGAACUGUGAAGAAAAAGUCAAUUGUAUUUCUUCACUGAAAGGAAAAAAAAACAUCUUGGAGAAAUUUCUCAAGAUACAAUCAAUCAGAUUGACCUGGAGAAGAAAAAACAAUGGUCUUUAUACUUAGAACAACACAUUUAGAUCUUCCAUGAUCUGUUGCAAGUUAUUUAGAAUGAAAGGGAAUGUAGAAAGCCAUGGGAACAUAACGGCUUCGAAAUAUCUGGACCAGGCAGCAAAUAGCCAUGUUACUAAGUAGCUGUCCAUCACAAUCACUAGGCAACACAACAGUCAGAGAAUGAGGAGGCUGUAAAAAAAAUUUUCAGGAACGGAAUGGCCCUGGAACAUUUUAGCUCUAGAACACAACAACUAUCAACAUUUUUGCUGGAGAUUGCAGUGGUUUUGAACUAUUUGGAAUGUGGGUCACAACAUAUGUGCAAAAUUGUGGCUGUAGAGCACAAUGGCAGGAGACAUUAUGGAAACAGCACAAUAUUACAAACUAUAGUACAAAGAGUGACCAAGCCAAGGAAGCAAACUGGUACCACUACCCCACAUUAGGAAUAUAAUCUGAGGACCAGUGUCUAUUCUUCCACAUCUCACAUUCAAAUUGUGUAAUUGUGGAAUAAAAUUGGACUUCUCUAUAUAGUUACCAGGAGCCAAGACUGAAUCAAGGAAUAAUUUUUAAAAUAAAUUGUGCAUCUAUCUCAGAUCUCCAGCGAACACCAAAAAUCCAGAACAUUUUACAGAAAGUGACUGAGUAUUAACACUAAUUUCAAGGAAUAGUCACCUUGCUUCCUGAUUUGUGUUUUCUUUCUUCUUUCUUUCUUUCUUUCUUUUUUUCUUUCUUUCUUUCUUUCUUUCUUUCUUUCUUUCUUUCUUUCUUUCUUUCUUUCUUUCUUUCUUUCUAGAAUUCAACACAACCCUGGAGUGAUUAAAAAAGAGAGUCAUUUGGAUAUAAAAUAAACUGUAAAACUGCUAUAGAAUAUGUUUGAAAAUCAAUAAUUAUUGCCGCAAGUGAUGGGAUUACCCAUGCUGAUCUUUACUAGUUGAGUGCUCAAGAGGACAUGUCACCAAUCCUUUGCUGCAGCGCUGCAACUAGGAACCCUUCGGACCUGAGAGAGAAGAAUAAAAGUGUGCUUUUAUGCUGAUUGGGCUGGCCACGAGUGAUGACAUUGCUACAUUCCUUCUAGAACCAACAAAUACAGGAGAACUGGGUCUUAUAGGAGCUUUCCACAUCUUCUCCAGUCAAUGAGAUCUGCUCUUUCUGAAUCAACCAGUGUGCUAUCCCAAUGAGGGAAGGCUUGCACUAGAUGAACUCCUGCAGGAAUUGUCUUCCAUGUCUCCACUGAUGGCCCCUGCCAAUUGGCCUUGCCUUCAGGAAUAACAUAAGAGAAAUUGUUAGUAUCCAGAAAAACAGUCUUUGAAUCCUUCCCCGCUUUCCAUCGGGAUGUCUCUGGCAACCUUCUCCAACCAGGUACACUCCAAAUGUGUUGUAUAUGAAGUCCCAGA